rnacentral:rRNA from 1 species
GACGAACGCUGGCGGCGUGCUUAACACAUGCAAGUCGAACGGAAAGGCCCUGCUUUUGUGGGGUGCUCGAGUGGCGAACGGGUGAGUAACACGUGAGUAACCUGCCCUUGACUUUGGGAUAACUUCAGGAAACUGGGGCUAAUACCGGAUAGGAGCUCCUGCUGCAUGGUGGGGGUUGGAAAGUUUCGGCGGUUGGGGAUGGACUCGCGGCUUAUCAGCUUGUUGGUGGGGUAGUGGCUUACCAAGGCUUUGACGGGUAGCCGGCCUGAGAGGGUGACCGGCCACAUUGGGACUGAGAUACGGCCCAGACUCCUACGGGAGGCAGCAGUGGGGAAUAGUGCACAAUGGGCGGAAGCCUGAUGCAGCAACGCCGCGUGCGGGAUGACGGCCUUCGGGUUGUAAACCGCUUUCGCCUGUGACGAAGCGUGAGUGACGGUAAUGGGUAAAGAAGCAUCGGCUAACUACGUG